rnacentral:tRNA from 1 species
GGGGAUUUAGUUCAGUGGUAGAGCGCGUGCCUAGCAAGCACAAGGCCCUGGGUUCGGUCCUCAGCUCUG